rnacentral:rRNA from 1 species
AGAGUUUGAUCAUGGCUCAGAAUGAACGCUAGCGGCGUGCUUAACACAUGCAAGUCGUACGAGAACUCUUUAGCUUGCUAAAGAUAGUAAAGUGGCGCACGGGUGAGUAACGCGCGGGUAAUCUACCUCUGAAUUUGGGAUAACUCCGCGAAAGCGGGGCUAAUACCGGAUAAUAUUUCAGGAUUUUCGGGUCUUGAAAUCAAAAGUGGCCUCUACAUGUAAGCUACUGUUUGGAGAUGAGCCCGCGUACCAUUAGCUUGUUGGUAGGGUAAUGGCCUACCAAGGCUACUGAUGGUUAGCUGGUCUGAGAGGAUGAUCUGCCACACUGGAUCUGAUCCCCGGUCCAGACUCCUACGGGAGGCAGC